UNGCUUAUGAACCAUGAUAAUCUUUUUGCC
rnacentral:piRNA from 1 species